UGGGGAAUAUUGGACAAUGGAGGGAACUCUGAUCCAGCUAUUCUGUGUGUGUGAAGAAGGUUUUAGGACUGUAAAACACUUUUAGUAGGGAAGAAAAAAAUGACGGUACCUACAGAAGAAGCAACGGCUAAAUACGUGCCAGCAGCCGCGGUAAUACGUAUGUUGCGAGCGUUAUCCGGAAUUAUUGGGCUUAAAGGGCAUCUAGGCGGUAAGACAAGUUGAAGGUGAAAACCUGUGGCUCAACCAUAGGCUUGCCUACAAAACUGUUGAACUAGAGUACUGGAAAGGUGGGUGGAACUACACGAGUAGAGGUGAAAUUCGUAGAUAUGUGUAGGAAUGCCGAUGAUGAAGAUAACUCACUGGACAGAAACUGACGCUGAAGUGCGAAAGCUAGGGGAGCAAACAGG
rnacentral:rRNA from 1 species